rnacentral:piRNA from 1 species
UCUCAAGGUAUGAGACUAACCUGUGCUAAA